AGUGAACGCUGGCGGUAGGCCUAACACAUGCAAGUCGAACGGCAGCACAUUAAUAGCUUGCUCUUACGGGUGGCGAGUGGCGGACGGGUGGGGAAUACAUCGUAAUCUACUUUUUCGUGGGGGGGAACGUAGGGAAACUUACUCUAAUACCGCAUACGACCUACUGGUGAGAGCAGGGGAUCUUCGGACCUUGCGCGAUUGAGUUAGCCGAUGUCGGAUUAGCUAGUUGGCGGGGUAAAGGCCCACCGAGGCGACGAUCCGUAGCUGGUCUGAGAGGAUGAUCAGCCACACUGGAACUGAGACACGGUCCAGACUCCUACGGGAGGCAGCAGUGGGGAAUAUUGGACAAUGGGCGCAAGCCUGAUCCAGCCAUACCGCGUGGGUGAAGAAGGCCUUCGGGUUGUAAAGCCCUUUUGUUGGGAAAGAAAAGCAGCAGGUUAAUACCCCGCUGUUCUGACGGUACCCAAAGAAUAAGCACCGGCUAACUUCGUG
rnacentral:rRNA from 1 species